CAGGAAGUGUCACUAGUUGGCACGUAACAAAGAAAAGAAUGAAGACAUUUCUCCACUCAGGGGAAACUGAGCGCGAGCCGGUCAUCUAGACGUGUGGAUGAAAGGUAGAGCACACCUCGUGGAAACUGCUGAUCCAGGGGAAGUGUGUGUUCCUGUCUGCCAUGGCGAUCUCAUGCAGCCAAGUCACCCUAAACGGAGGUCAGCACACUGUGGGGACCACCCCAGCGAGAGAGGAGAGGAACAGGGUCAUGGCAGAAGUCCCUUCCUGUUUUGAGGGCUUGUCAGCCACCCAGCGGGAUGAUGAGGAUACCAUCCAGGACACUCUGGGGAGGACAUUAAAGACCCCGAGAUAAAGGCUUGUGUGCCAGUGUGUGGAUGCUUUGCCACCUGCGAGAAAUACACAAAUCCUUCACCGGGAGACCCUGCUGUGUAACCCCUGAACACCAAGAGCUUGACGAGGAGGAAGCAUCUGAGAUUGAGCUUCAAGCAUCAAGUCAGGCAGAAAACUAUCCGGUAAACCUCGCCAGGUCACGGAACCACGCUGGGAAUAUCACUGGAAGACGUAUAGCGAGAUGAAUCUGUUCCCUUUUUUUUGUUUUUUUAUUGUUUGUUUCACCACCGUGACCUCUCUGACACGAGGCUCGACUUCAGUUGAUGCGUUCAGCACAUGGUCGGUAACCUUACUCUCAGUUCAUCAAAUCUUUAAAAACCUCUGUUAGUGCAACUCGGUCGUGCAUUGUAGAUGAUGGAUGCUCCUCGAAUCACGCGCAUUUUUAUUCCAAGCCAACACUUUUAGCAACAUUAUUAUCAUGAAAGGCAAAGUGGAAGUGCUUGUCUUAAAUAACGCCCAUGUGACCUACUUCUAUUACUCCAGGCUGACAGCGCUUCAUUCAUACAGGCUGAGAAAGUCCCUGUAGUCUUGGGCCUAAGCACAUUACAUAUCCCGCUCUGUCUUCAACGGUUUCCUCCCGUUGCUUGAACGCUGUGUCUCAUGCACACCGCUCAGUCCAUCGCGAGGUACGAUAAUAGAGGUCUUCUGGAGAACCCUUUCCAAUGAAAAGCUGUCACGUUUGAGAAACCCUACAUUAAUAAAGCACAUAAUUGCAGAUUUUAUGAAGCCUUUCUCUGCCAAACGAACCUCAUUUUCCUCUCUCUCCCCAGGUCCUCACUUGCUGCCCAGUCUGAACAAUGUCGGUAUUAUGUUAGCCGGUGGGCAAAGAGUAAGCGGAGCCGAGGACUUUGAUGCAAACGGCAAAAAGGUAGCUAAUGAAGAGAUUGACGUCGACUCGCCAUUGAAACUUAUCACACAGAGACCGAUUCACACGGAUCACUUAAAAUUCUGCAAGCAGAGCUCGCAAUACACUGCCGAUACUUGUUUAAAAUGAGAGCCCUACAUUCUGCAUUCAGCGAUACUGUUUUGCUUUCUAAUGGGCGCACUUGAACUCUGACCCUUUCACUUUUGUGUGCGCACGGGGGGCGGGGGGGGACGAGGCAGGCACUCGUGGGUGAAUGGAUGCAAAUGUGCGCCCCUCCAUGCUUGACAGGUAAACAUGUAGUGCUGGUUCUGGUGAUAGAACUCAUUAGAAGGCAUGGAGUGUGUGUGUGGGUGUGUGUGCUCAGUAACUACAAAACAUGUGCCUCAUAGUAACACGCUAAACCCCAGUGAGGAAGUGGUGCUAUUGAAAGCGCUGAAUAGUUUGGAGACUUAUCAAAUCCACCUUGAGCUUUCUUCCUGAAACACACACACACACAUUCGCAGGCUGUAAUGCGUCAGGGUAAUUACAGGACUUGGAUGUUGUUGCUAUUACCGUGCUCGUGUAAUGCAAUUAUAACUCCGCUUUACGUUUGAAUGACGAUAGGAGUGGCCGGGGGUUGUCGUUUUCAAAGGAACCUUUGUGUCGAAGCGUCGGUCACAGCCGGAAAACGUCCUCCUGUAUUGAUGGAGAUCCACUCUCAUCAU